rnacentral:rRNA from 1 species
AGCGAACGCUGGCGGCAGGCUUAACACAUGCAAGUCGAGCGGGCAUCCUUGUGGUGUCAGCGGCAGACGGGUGAGUAACGCGUGGGAACGUGCCCUUCGGUUCGGAAUAACUCAGGGAAACUUGAGCUAAUACCGGAUACGUGCGAGAGCAGAAAGGUUUAUCUGCCGAAGGAUCGGCCCGCGUCUGAUUAGCUAGUUGGCGAGGUUAUGGCUCACCAAGGCGACGAUCAGUAGCUGGUCUGAGAGGAUGAUCAGCCACACUGGGACUGAGACACGGCCCAGACUCCUACGGGAGGCAGCAGUGGGGAAUAUUGGACAAUGGGGGCAACCCUGAUCCAGCCAUGCCGCGUGAGUGAUGACGGCCUUAGGGUUGUAAAGCUCUUUUCUUCGGGACGAUAAUGACGGUACCGGAGGAAUAAGCCCCGGCUAACUUCGUG